rnacentral:rRNA from 1 species
AACGAACGCUGGCGGCAGGCUUAACACAUGCAAGUCGAGCGCCCCGCAAGGGGAGCGGCAGACGGGUGAGUAACGCGUGGGAAUCUACCCAUCUCUACGGAAUAACGCAUGGAAACGUGUGCUAAUACCGUAUACGUCCUUCGGGAGAAAGAUUUAUCGGAGAUGGAUGAGCCCGCGUUGGAUUAGCUAGUUGGUGGGGUAAAGGCCUACCAAGGCGGCGAUCCAUAGCUGGUCUGAGAGGAUGAUCAGCCACACUGGGACUGAGACACGGCCCAGACUCCUACGGGAGGCAGCGGUGGGGAAUAUUGGACAAUGGGCGCAAGCCUGAUCCAGCCAUGCCGCGUGAGUGAUGAAGGCCCUAGGGUUGUAAGCUCUUUCACCGGUGAAGAUAAUGACGGUAACCGGAGAAGAAGCCCCGGCUAACUUCGUGCCAGCCGCCGCCGUAAAAC